UUGACCUCGGAUCAAGUAGGAAGACCCGCUGAACUUAAGCAUAUCAAUAAG
rnacentral:rRNA from 1 species